rnacentral:rRNA from 1 species
GCUCAGGAUGAACGCUAGCUACAGGCUUAACACAUGCAAGUCGAGGGGCGGCAUGAACUUAGCUUGCUAAGUUUGAUGGCGACCGGCGCACGGGUGAGUAACGCGUAUCCAACCUUCCGUUUACUCGGGUAUAGCCUUUCGAAAGAAAGAUUAAUCCCCGAUAGUAUGGUAAGAUUGCAUGAAAUUACCAUUAAAGAUUAAUCGGUAAACGAUGGGGAUGCGUUCCAUUAGGUAGUAGGCGGGGUAACGGCCCACCUAGCCGACGAUGGAUAGGGGUUCUGAGAGGAAGGUCCCCCACAUUGGAACUGAGACACGGUCCAAACUCCUACGGGAGGCAGCAGUGAGGAAUAUUGGUCAAUGGGCGAGAGCCUGAACCAGCC